UACGGGGGGGGCAAGCGUUGUUCGGAAUUACUGGGCGUAAAGAGCUCGUAGGUGGCCAACUAAGUCAGACGUGAAAUCCCUCGGCUUAACCGGGGAACUGCGUCUGAUACUGGAUGGCUUGAGAUUGGGAGAGGGAUGCGGAAUUCCAGGUGUAGCGGUGAAAUGCGUAGAUAUCUGGAGGAACACCGGUGGCGAAGGCGGCAUCCUGGACCAACACUGACACUGAGGAGCGAAAGCCAGGGGAGCAAACGGG
rnacentral:rRNA from 1 species